AGCAGUGUGGCUUAGUGGAAAGAGCCCGGGCUUGGGAGUCAGAGGUCAUGGGUUCUAAUCCCGACUCUGCCA
rnacentral:tRNA from 1 species